ACGAAAUUCAGCAAAACAAGAACCCUAAUAACACUAUCAAUCUUCACAUUUCUUGAUAACAAUAUACAUAAUUUAGCAAAACAAGAACACUAAUAACACUAUCAAUCCUCUCAUUUCUUGAUAACAAUAUACGAAAUUCAGCAAAACAAGAACCCUAAUAACACUAUCAAUCUUCUCAUUUCUUAAUAACAAUAUACAAAAUUCAGCAAAACAAGAAUAUUAAUAACAUUAUCAAUCUUCUCAUUUCUUGAUAACAAUAUACAAAAUUUAGCGAAACAAGAACACUAAUAACAUUAUCAAUCUUCUCAUUUCUUGGUAACAAUAUACAAAAUUUAGCAAAACAAGAACACUAAUAACACUGUCAAUCUUCACAUUUCCUGAUAACAAUAUACAACAUUUAGCAAAACAAGAACACUAAUAACACUAUCGAUCUUCUCAUUUCUUGAUAACAAUAUACAAAAUUUAGCAAAGCAAGAACACUAAUAACACUAUCAAUCUUCUCAUUUCUUGAUAACAAAAUAGAAAAUUUAGCAAAACAAGAACACUANUAAUAACACUAUCAAUCCUCUCAUUUCUUGAUAACAAUAUACAAAAUUUAGCAAAACAAGAACAUUAAUAACAUUAUCAAUCUUCUCAUUUCUUGAUAACAAUAUACAAAAGUUAGCGAAACAAGGAGACUAAUAACACUAUCAAUCAUCUCAUUUCUUAAUAAUAAUAUACAAAAUUUAGCAAAACAAGACCCCUAAUAACACUAUCAAUCUUCUCAUUUCUUGAUAACAAUAUACAAAAUUAAGCAAAACAAGAACACUAAUUACACUAUCAAUCUUAUCAUUUCUUGAUAACAACACACAAAAUUUAGCAAAACAAGAACACUAAUAACACUAUCAAUCUUCAUAUUUCUUGAUAACAAUAUACAAAAUUUAGCAAACCAAGAACACUAAUAACACUAUCAAUCCUCUCAUUUCUUGAUAACAAUAUACAAUAUUCAGCAAAACAAGAACCCUAAUAACACUAUCAAUCUUCUCAUUUCUUGAUAACAAUUUACAAAAUUCAGCAAAACAAGAACACUAAUAACACUAUCAAUCCUCUCAUUUCUUGAUAACAAUAUACAAAAUUUAGCAAAACAAGAACAUUAAUAACAUUAUCAAUCUUCUCAUUUCUUGAUAACACUUCUCUCUAGUAACAAUUACAAAUUUAGCAAAGAACACUUAAUAACUUAUCAAUCUUACUUCUGAUAACAUCACUAUUUAGCAAAACACACUUACAAUCAAUCUUCUAAUUUCUGAUACACAUACAAAAUUAGCCCAAAACAAAGACAUAUACACUAUCAUCUUCAUUUUUGGUACAAUAUACGUAUUAGCACAGAAAUAAUACCAUCUCCAUCCUUCUUUUUAGAUACAAUAAUACAAAAUUAACAAAGAACACUAUAACCUUCAUCCUGAUUCUAUAACAUAUACAAUAGAAACAAAAGUACGACUAAUUAACACUAUCAUUUCUCAUUUCUUGAAACAAUUACAAAUUUAGCCAACAAAGAACACUAAUAAACCUAUCAUCUUCAUUCUGAUACAAUAUACAAUUUAGGGAAACAAAGACGCUAGUCAUUGCUUACUCAUCUGAUACAAUAUACAAAUUGCAAAACAAACACUAAUAACUAUCAUCUUACAUUUCAUUGAUAACAUAUACUCAAAUCAGCAAACAAAGACACUACACACUAUCAAUCUUCUCAUUCAUUCGAACAUAUACCAAAUUCAGCAAACAGACAACUAAUAACACUAUCAUUCCUCAUAUUGAACAAGAACAAAUAGCAAACAAAAAGAAGAUUAAACAUUAUCCAUUUUCUCUUCUGAUACAAUACAAAAUUUAGACCAAAACAAGAACACUAUACCUAUUCAUCUUCUCAUUUUAAUCAAAAAAUAGAAUUAGCAAAACACACUAAACCUAUCAAUCAUCUCAUUUUGAUAACAAAUACAAAAUUGCAACAAACACAUAACCUACUCAUCUAUUCAUUUUGGAUCACAAUAUACAAAUUAGCAAACCAGGGGAGCACUAAUAAUUAUCAAUCCUCUAUUCUGUAAACAACUAUUUAGCAAACGCUAGACUAUCAUCUUUCAUUUCUAUAACUAUAAUUUAGCAAAACAAGAACCUAUCCCACUGUCAAUCCUCUCAUUUUUGUACAAAUAUCAAAAUUCGCAACCAGAACACUAAUACCAUCAUCUUCAUUUCUUGACACAACAAUUUAGCAACAGAACUAAUAAUAACGAUUAUCAAUUAUCUAUUCUGAUAACAAUACAAAUUAAGCGAACAAGAAAUAUACACUAUAAUUUCUCAUUCUUAUAACAUUACAAUUAGACAGACCUAAUAACACUACAUCUUUCAUUUCUUGUAACAUUACAAAUUUGCAAACAACACUAUAACAUCAAGUUCUCUUCUGAUGACAAUAUACAAAGUUUGCAAAGCGGGAGGAACUCCAACUGUGGCAGGUGUUCAUUUUUGGGGAGGUACAAAUAGUAGACAUUUGAGGCAACUGGAUAAUCAGGUAUCAUCUUUUCUGUAACAUAUACAAAUUUUAGCACAAGACGGGGACUUAACAUUCGCUUCAUUGUGGCGGGAACAAUAGGUAGGUUAGCAAACAUCGCUAAUGCACUAUCAAUUCCGUGGGUGUCUUGAUAAAUGGGUCAAUUAGCACGAAACACUAUCAUAUCAGAUCUUCAAUUGGUGAACAUGUAAUAAGGGUAGCAAACGAAGACUACACUUCAUCCUCUUUUUCUUGGAUCUGGCGUGGAUUGACAAGGUGUGAAGACAAAUACACUAUCAGGUUUCGUGGGGUUCUUGUAAAUUACAAAAUUGGUUGCGAACGAGGAACAUAACACUAUCAAUUUUCAUUUUGAUACUGAUAAAUUUAAGCCAGACAUAUCACUAUCUUCUAUUUGUCAAUAAAUUUAGAACGCUCAUUUUCAUUUCUUAGAUACAUUACAAUUAGCAAACAGAAAUUAAUCUUCAAUUCUUGUACAAUAUCAAAUCAGCAGACAAAUACCUUUUUUCUCUUCUUAUAUCAAAUUCGCACAAGACACUAUACCUAGCAUCCUAUUUCUUGUAAAAAUAUACAAAUUUAGCAAACAAGAACAUUAAUACAUUAUCAUCUUCAUUUCUUGAACAUAUACAAUUUAGUACAAACAGAACCAUAACCUAUCAAUCUUCUCAUUCUUAAUAACAUGAUUUGCUUUAACUAGACCUAAACUCAUCAUCUGCUUUGAUAAAGACAAAUUAGCAAACAGGACCUAUACUAGAUUUCUCAUUCUGUAAAUAUACAAUUUAGCAACGAAGAACCUAAAUAACAUUAUCUCUCUAUUUAUUUAACUAUACAUAUUAGCAAACAGCACUUCUCUUCUGAUUUUUAACAUUACAAAUGUGCAAACAAGACACUAAUACUUCAUCUUAUUUUUAGUAAGAUACAAUUCGCACAAGAACAUGGAAUCAUCAUCAUCUUCAUUUCUUGACUUACAAUUAGCCAAACAGGAAAUUAAUAACUUAUCAAUCUUCUCAUUUCUUGUAACAAUAUACAAAUUUAGCCGAACAGCAUAUAACGCUAUUCACUUUAUUUUUAACAUACAAAUUAGACAAGAACCUAAUAACACUUCAUUAUUCAUUGUCUUUAACAAUAUAAAAUUAGCAACAGAACACUAAACAUAUCAUCCUCUUUUGCUUGAACAAUAAUCAUAAUUUGCACAGAACAUACUUUCUCUUUCUUAUACUUCAAAUUAGCAAACAAACCUUACCUUCAUCCUUAUUUUGAUAACAAUAUACAAUUCGCAACAAACCUAACCUAUCAUCCUAUCAUUUAUUGCACAUAUACAUUUAGCAAACAGCUUAAUACUUAUCAAUCUUCUCAUUGCACAUAUACAAAUUAGCCGACAGAAUUAACCUAUCAUUUCAUUUCUUUACACAUCUACAGAUUUUAAGCACAAGACCUAAUACCAUAUCUCUUUUUCUUGUAACAUAUACAUCAACAGACCAUAAAUCAUUCUAUUUCUGAUCAUAUACUUGCAGGAAACAUAACACUGUCAUUUCUCUUUCUUAUAACAAAUGAAAUGGUUAGCACAAGAAUAAUAAGAUCAAUCUUCUAUUCUGUAAAAUCAAUUUAGCAAACAGCACUUAAUAUCAUCCUCUCUUCUUGUACAUCAUAAUUUAGCCACUACUAUAACAUACAUUUUCAUUUCUUGUACACUCAUUAGCAAACAGAACUAUCACUUCCAUUAUUUCUUGAACAUUUAAUGCAAACGAAGAUUAACCUCUCUCCUCUUUUCUGUAACAAUAUACAAAUUUACAAGAAACAUAAUAACUUCAAAUCUUCUGAUUUCUUGAUAAUAUACAAAUUUAGACAAAACAGACAUAUCGACUAUAUCUUAUUUCUUGAAACAUUAUACAAUUAGGCAACAGCCUAUACCUAUCAUCUUCUAUUUUUGUAAUUAAUUAGGAAAAAACAUAUCAUCUUUCAUUCUUGUACAAUAUAAAAUUAGCAAACAAAGCACAAUAAACCUCUAUUCAAUUCUUGUAACAUUACAAAUUCAGCAAACGAACAUAAUACAUAUCAUUGGCUCUUCUUGAUAACAAUAUACGAAUUCAGCAAACAGAACACUAAUAACAUUCAUCGUCCUCUCUUUCUUUGUAACAUUACAAUUAGCAAACAGACAUUAACAUUAUCAUUCUCAUUUACUGUAACAAUAUACAUUUGCAAACAGACCUAUCAUAUCUCUUCUCAUUUUUAAAUACAAAAUAGAAAAUUAGCAACAAGAUAAUAACACUAUCAAUAUCUCAUUUCUGUACAAGUACAAAAUUUAGCAACAAGACAUAUACACUAUCAAAUCUUCUUUUUCUGAUAACAUAUACGACUUAGCAACAAGAACACUAUUAUCACCUCUAUUCUGAUACUUACUUUGCAAAACAGAACCUCAAUUCUUUCUUUAUAACUGAAAAUAUUGCAAACAAAGAACAUAUACAUUCAUCUCUAUUCUGUACAUAUACAAAUUAGCAAACAGACACUAACACUUCAAUCUUCUUUUGAACAAUUCAAAAUUUGCAAAACAGCUUCUAAUUAUCAAAAUUUUCUUCUGAUAACAAUAUACAAAAUUCUAGGACGCAUAUCCUUCAUUUUCUUUACAUAUACAAAAUUUAGCAACAGAACUUACCUAUCUUUUAUUUCUUGUAAAGAAAAAUUAGCACAAACUAAUAACGCAAUCCAUUUUCUCAUUUCUGAAACAAUUACAAAUUUAGCCAAAGCAGAACUAUACUUCAAUCUUCUCUUUCUUAAUAAGCAAAUAGAAAUUGACAAGAACACUAUACUACAUCUUCCUUUCUUGAUACAUAUCAAAUUUAGUCGCAAACAAGCUAAUACUUAUCAAUCCUUCUUUCUUGAUCAAUCUAUAAAAUGUUUUUUAGGGGCAAAAACUACACUAUAACACUAUCCUUUCAUUCUUGAUAACAACAUACAAAUUUGAACAGAAACCUUAACCAUCUUCUUCAUUUCGAUCUUAAUAAUUUUCAACAAAACAAUAAUACACUUCAAUCCUCUCAUUUCUGAUAACAUAUACAAAUAACAAAGCAAGACACUAAUACACUUCAAUCUUCUGAUUUCUUGUAACAUAGUACAAAAUUUAGCAACAGACAUUAACACUAUCAAUAUUUUCUGUACAAUAUACAAUAAAUUAGCACAAGACAUAUAACACUAUCCAAUUUCUAUUCUGUACAAUAUACAAAUUUAGGGGAAACAAGAACACUACAAUCUUCUCAUCAUCUAACAAUAUACUAUAGCAAAACAGACCAUAAAAACUAUUCAAUCCUUCCACAUUGUUUGAUACAAUAUACAAAAUUCAGCAACAAACAUAUAACACUAUCAAUUUCUAUUCUGAAACAUAUCAAAUCAGAAAACCAGAACCACUAAAUCACAUAUCAUCUCUUCUUUCCUUGGAUACAAUAUACAAAAAUUGUAGCAACCAAGAAAGAAAACAUUAUGCUGAGGAGGUCUCUAUUGUGUCGGUGGGAGUGGACAUUACGAAAAUGGGUGGGCAAACAAGAACACUUGUAGGAUAACGCGUGUAUCAAAUCUUUCAUUUCUAGUGGAGGACAAUAAAAAUUAGGCAAGACGGGGCAGGACGGGGAGGGCGUAAUGGUGGCACUAUCAAUCGUGGGGGAUCUCAUUCUGUGGUAUGUGGGACAAAUACAAAUUUAGCAAAAACGAAGACGGGACGUAAUAACACAUCAAUGGUGUGGUAUUCUCGAGGUGGAGAAAUUUACAAAGUUGAGCAAACGGAGACACUAUACAUACAGGUUGUGUCUCUUCAUCUUGAUAACAUAUACUAUUUAGCAAAACAAGAACACUUCAAUCUUCUCAUAUUCUAAUAACAACUGUAUAACAAAUUUAAGCAAACAAUGAACACUAUAACAACUUAUCAAUCCUCUCGAUUUCUUGAUACACAAUAUACAAAAUUCAGCAGAAACAGAACAUAAUCAACACUAUCAUCCUCUCAUUUCUUGACAACAAAACAAUUUAGCAAAACAAGAACAUGUACUAACACUUAUCAAUCUUCUUCAAUUUCUUGAGAUACAAUAUACAAAAUUUAGCGAACAAGAAGAACACUUAAUUAACACGAUGCAAUUUUCAUUUCUUAAUACAACUAUACAAAAUUUAGCAACCAAGAACACUAAUACAACUAUCAUAUCUUCUCAUUUCUUGCAUACAAUAUACAAAUCUAGCACAAACGAGAACACUAAUAACACAAUCAAUUUUCUCAUUCUUGAUAAAAUAUACAAAAAUUUUAGCAAAGCAAGAACACUAAUAACACGUAUCCAAUCACUUCUCAUUUCUUAAUAACAAUAGAAAAUUUUAGCAAACAAGAACAACUUAUAACACUAGUCAAUGCUCUCAUUCGUUUGCAAACAAUUAUACAAAUUAUAGCCCACAAGACAAUAAUACAAUUAUCAUCCUCUCAUUUCCGAGCGGGGACACUACAUAAUUUAGCAAAAACAAUAACCUAAUAACACUAUCAGAUCUUCUCAUUCUUGAUAACAACAUACAAAUUUAGCAAACAAGAACAUAAUAACCUAUACGCUUCACAUUUCUUAGAUAACAAUAUCAUAAUUUAGCAAAAACUAAGACAAUAAGAACACUCUCAAUCCUCUCUUUUCUGAUAAACAAUAAUACAAAUUUAACAAAAGAGAACACUAAAUAACACUAUCAAUCUUGCUGAUUUCUUGAUAAACAAUAUACAAAUCUUGGCCCCACAACAAGAAAACACUAAUAACACAUCAAUCUUCUCAUUUAUGAUAGAUAAAUAAACAGAAAUAAAUACAUGACCCAUCUCUAUAUCAAAAACAAAGAUAGCAAAACGCAUUUCAAUUCACAUAAAAUAGAAACACAAUCACUCAUUCUUAACAUAUACAAAAUUUAAAAACCUAAUACUAUCAAUUCUUCUUGAUAACAUAUACAAAAUUUAGCAAAACAAGAACACUAAUAACUAAUCAAUCUUCACAUUUCUUGAUAACAAAACAAAAUUCUAGCAAACAGACAACCUAAUAACACUGAUCAAUCUUCUCAUUUCUUGAUCAACAAUAUACAAAUUAGCAAAACUAAGAACACUAAAUAACACUAUAAUCUUCUCAUUCUUAUAACUAAUACAAAAUUUAGCAAACAGAUUCCUAAUACACUAUCAUCUUCUCAUUUCUUGAUAACAUAUACAAAAUUUAGCAAACAAGACACUAAUACACUACAAUCUUCUCAUUUUCUGAUAACGAAUUAUCAAAUUUAGCAAAACAGAACACUAAUAACACGUAUCACUUCUCAUUUCUUGAUAACAAAUAAGAAAUUUCAAACAAGCACUAAUACACUAUCAUCUUCUCAUUUCUUGAUAACAAAUACAAAAUUAGCAAAACAAGAACACUACCAUAACACUAUCAAAUCCUCUCAUUUCUUGAUAACAAUAACGAUAAAUUUAGCCAAAACAAGAUACACUAUACUCAAUCAUCUCUCAUUGUCUUGAUAAGCAAUAUACAAAAUGUUGAGCAAAACAAAAAACAAUAAUAACACUAUCAAUCGCUCUCAUUUCUGACAACAAUAUACACAAUUCUAUGCACACAGAACCCUAAAACACUUAUCAUUUCUCAUUUUCUUGAUAACAAUAACAAAAUUCUAGCAAAAGAACACUAAUACACUAUAAGCAAUCUCUCAUUCCUUGAUAACAAUAUACCAAAAUUUACACAACAAAGAACAUCUAAUAAACAUAUCAUCUUCUCAUUUCUGAAACAAUAUAACACAAAUUUAGGAAACAAGCCGAACAACUAAUAAUACUAUCAAUCAUCUUUCUUUACUUCAACAUAUACAAAUAUUAGCAAAACAAGCACACAAUAACACUAUCGAUCUUCCUCAUUUCUUUGAUAACCAAUAUACAAAUUAGCUAAACAAGAACACUAAUAACACUUAUCAAUCGUCUUCAUUUCUUAGUAAACAUAUACAAAUUUAGUCAAUAACAAAAACUAAUAACACUAUCAAUUCUCUCAUUCUAAUAACAAUAAUACAAAAUUUAGCAAACAAGAACCUAAUACACUAUCAAUCUUCACAUUCUGUGGAUAACAAUAUACAAAAUUUAGCGAAACAAAGAACCACUAAUAACACAAUCAAUUUUCUCAUUUUGAUAACAAUAUCAAAGUUUAGCAAGCAAGAACACUAAAUACACUAUCAAUCUUCUGAUAUUCUGAUAACAUAUACACAAUUUAGCCAAACGAAGAAACAUUAUAACACUAUCAAUCUAUUCAUUCUUAAUACAUAUACAAAUAUUAGCAAACAAGAACACUAAUAACACUUCAAUCUUCUCAGUUUCUUCGUAACAUAUACAAAAUUUUAGGCAAAACAGAACGAUAAUAACCUCUCAAUCUUUCUAUUUCUUGUAACAAUAUACAAAAUUUAGGAAAACAAGAACACUAUCAAUCUUCUCAUUUCUUUAUAACAAAUAUACAAAUUUAGCAAACUCAAGCACUAAUUUAACUAUCAAUCUUCACGAUUUCUUGUAUAUAUACCAAAAUUCAGCAAAACAAGAACCCUAAUAACACUAUCAUCUUCUCCUUGAUAACAAUAUACAUAAUUUAGCAAAACAAGAACACUAAUACACUAUCAAUCCCUCUUCAUUUAUUUGAUACAAUGUACAGAAAUUUGAAUCAACAAGACAUUAAUAACACUAUCAUCUAUCUCAUUUCUUGAUAACAUAUACAAAAUCUAGAAAACAGAAGCACCUAAUACACUAUCAAUCUCUCAUUCGUGAUAACAAUAUUACAAAAUUCAGCAAAGCAAGAACACUAAUACACUAUCAAUCUCUCAUUUCUGAUAACAACAUACAAAAUUUAGCAAAACAGAACAUCUAAUAACAUUAUCAAUCUUCUCAUUCUUCUGAUAACAAUAUACCAAAAUUUAACAACAGAACACUAAUAACACUUAUCAAUUCUUCUCAUUUCUUGCAUACAAUAUACAAUAAUUGUAGCAGAAUACUUAAAAACACUAUCAACUUCUUCUUGCAUAAAAUUGCAAAAAGAAUAUAACCUUUAUUUCAUCUCUAACAUAUACAAAAUUUUUUAGCAAAACAAGAACACUAAUAACAUAUCAUCCUCUCGAUUUCUUGACUAAAAUUAUACAAAAAUUUCAAGCAAACAAGACAUAAUAACACUAUCAUCCUUCUCAUUUCUUGAAACAAUAUAACAAAUUUCAGCACCAAACAAAGAACAUAAUAACAUCUUCAAUCUCUCAUUUUUUGAAUACAAUAUACAAAAUUCUAGCGAAACAAGAACCUAAUAACACUAUCGAUUUUCCUGGCAUUUCUUGAAUAACAAUAUACAAAUUAGCAAAACAAGACCAUUAAUAACAUAUCAAUCUUCUCAUUGUCUUGAUACAAUAUACAAAAUUUGCGAAACAAGGACACUAAUAACACUACAAUCAUCUUUCUCAUUUAUCUUAUAACAAUUUAUACAAAAUUUAGCAAAACCAAGACCCUAAUAACCGAUCAAUCUUCUCAUUCCUUGAUAACAAUACAAAUUCAGCAACAAGAACCUGAAUACACUACUUCAUCUUCUCAUUUCUGAUCAACAAUAUACAAAUUUAGCAAAACAAGAGACACUAAUACACAUUCUAUCACUUUCAACUCUCAUUGCAUGACCUUUGGCUAACAAAAAGGAUACCCAAAUUUAGCAAACAACAAUACAAUAAUCACCAUUAUCCAACAUCUUCUCAUUUCUUGAUAACANACUAUCAAUCUUCUCAUUUCUUGAUAUAUACAAAAAUGUUAGCGGAAAACAAGAACACUAAUAACACUAUCAUCAUCUUCUCAUUUCUUACAUACAUAUAAUACAAAAUUUAGCAAAACAAGACACCUAAUAACACAUCAAUCUCUCAUAUUCUUGAUAACAUAUACAAAAUUAGCAAAACAAGAACCCUAAUAACACUAUCAAUCUUCUCAUUUCUUGAUAACAAUAUACAAAAUUCAGCAAAACAAGAGACACUAAUACAUUCACUCAAUCUCUCAUUUCUUGAUAUACAAGAUAUACACAAAUUUAGACAAAACAGCAAAUCAAAUUAAUCACAUUAUCACAUCUUCUCAUUUCUUGAUAUACAAAUUAUAAAUUACCUUCAAUUUCUCUUAUUUGUUCUUCCCUCUACCGCCUCCGGAUUGAUACUACUAGGUUUUUUACUAGCUUUGAAAGGAGAUCGGAAUAUUGCUCUAUUGGCAGUCGGAAAAAAUUUUUUUAUAAGCCAUCCUUCCUAUUUCCUUCAUGUCCAGAAUGAAUAAAUAUACAAGAAUGUUAGCAAAACUAGGAAAAAAAAAAGAACGACUAGAUUUUAACCUACUUUCUGUUUAAUCUUUUCUCAUCUUAUAACUAAUUUAAUAUAUAUAAAUUUAGAAUCGUGUGUUAGAGAAAAAAAAAAGAAAAAAAAAAGAUAUACUAAUUUAUACACUAUUUCUAUUUCAUUUCUUCAUGAUUUCUUGAUAAGAAAAAUACUCUAAAAUUUAGCAUUAAACUUAAGAAACACAACUAUAUAAUAUCUUAUUUCUUCACAUUUUCCUUUCGUUAACAAUUAGUGAAAAUAAUUUCUAAGGAAAAUAAGUGUAAAAGAGACGAAAAACGAAAAAAAAAAAAAAAAAGAGGAACGAGAAGAAACAUAAGAAGAAUAAAAACAACGAUAAAAAACUCUGAGGAUUUUCCUCUUUAAUAAGCUUCAGUUUGCGGUGUUAUGGAUACUAACCAUACAUAAUAAACGGUUUCACGCAAAUUAUCCGAUUUUUAUCAUCAGAGCAGAAACAUCAACGAGAACGCGAGCUAUGUUUUUGAAGAGAACACUUGGAAGUCUCUCUUGAUAACUGUGGUCGCUAUAAUAUAGUGAUAGGCGUUAUGUCUUAGGGACACGCUUGAGAGCAUCUAUGGUAUCAACUCGAAUCAAAGGAGUGAGAGAUAGUAAAUCAAGGAUUCAUAAAUCUACAAUAACACUUAUGUGUUUUGUCUUGUCGAAAACUAGAGGAUUGGAUCAUUUUCUUCUCGGUGGUCUUUAUACAAAUCAAUAGUCAACUUUAGAUUAAUAAAUAUCUUACCAUUAUUUCCUUCAGCUUAUUAGAAUUUGGUGGUGUGGACGUUACUCCUUAAGCUACAGAUAGGGAAUCGAAAUUGAAUAAAACAGGGGAGGUGGGGUAGCAGAAUUUAGGGCAUUAAAGCGGAAGGGAAGGUGGACGAGGACUGAGGCUGGGGAGAUAGACACGGGUGGAAUGCGAGAGGUCCUCUCAUGAUGUGCGGAGUUGAUAACAAAAGUGGAUACAGAGAGCAAGGUUCGGUAACCGACCUAAACAAAUCUUUGUUGAUUGUUCUCUCUUUUCAUAUAAUCUGGCUAAGUUUGCAUAAAUUGAAGUCUGAUAGUUUGGUGAAUUAAUAGUAAAACUUUUAAUCACUACCACUUACAUUGUGUGCAAUUUAAAGAUUGUAAUCAGAACAUAUUAAAUUGGUAUGCAAGCAUUCACUUUCGAUUGCAGAAUCCUAUAAGGAAAAAUUCAUGGCACUCAGUUAAUUGAUGAAUAGAAUAAAAUUGAGAACUUAGGGUUGGAGUGCACACAAGUGAUUAUUCAUAUAAAUGGAUUAUUCAGCUUAAGAGUCGAUUAAUGAUAACAAACAUAAAUAACAACCUCUUCACCCACUAAUCAAUAGCUCUUCUGUUCUCAAUUAUUUCACUUAUUCUCUUAUGUGUCUAUCCAUUAGCAUGAGGACACAUACUCCAAAGGAUUGUUGUAAAUUAAUUGAUAUGCAUUUAAUUUUUAAAAUAGUUCGUUAGAUUAUAUCUCUUUUAGAUCAGUCUCCCAUUAUGGUUUACACAGCAAUCUCCGAUCUUUCUACUAACGGAACGUUUUAAGAAACAAGAACACUAAUAAAACUAUCAAUCUUCUCAAUUCUUAAUAACAAUAUACAAAAUUUAGCAAAACAAGAACACUAAUAACACUAUCAAUCUUCUCAUUUCUUGAUAACAAUAUACAAAAUUUAACAAAACAAGAACACUAAUAACACUGUCAAUCUUCUCAUUUCUUGAUAACAAUAUACAAAAUUUAGCAAAACAAGAACACUAUCAAUCUUCUCAUUUUUUGAUAACAAUAAAGAAAAUUUAGCAAAACAAGAACACUAAUAACACUAUCCAUCCUUUCAUUUCUUGAUAACAAUAUACAAAAUUCAGCAAAACAAGAACCCUAAUAACACUAUCAAUCUUCUCAUUUCUUGAUAACAAUAUACAAAAUUCAGCAAAACAAGAACACUAAUAACAGUAUCAAUCCUCUCAUUUCUUGAUUACAAUAUACAAAAUUUAGCAAAACAAGAACAUUAAUAACAUUAUCAAUCUUCUCAUUUCUUGAUAACAAUAUACAAAAUUUAGCGAAACAAGAACACUACUAACACUAAAUCAAUCUUCUCAUUUCUUUUAAUAAACAAUAUACAAAAUUUAGCAAAACAAGAACACUAAUAACAUCUAAUCAAAUCUUCUCAAUUUCUGAUGUAACAAUAUACAAAAUUUAGCAAACCAAGAACAUAAUAACACUAUCAAUCUCUCAUCAUUUCUUGAUAAACAAUAUACAAAUUUUAUGCAAAACAAGAAACACUAAUAAACACUAUCAAUCUUUCCAUUUCUUGAUAACAAUAUACAAAAUUUAGCGAAACAAGAACAAUAAUAACACUACACAAUCUUUAUUCUGAAUAAACAAUAUACAAAAUUUAGCAAAACAAGAACCAUCUAAUAAGCAUUCUAUCAAAUCUUCUCAUUUCUUGAUAACAAUAUACAAAAUUUAGCAAACUAGAUACACUAAUACACUAUCAAUCUUUCUCAUUUCUUUGAUAACAAUAUAUCUACUAAAUAUUAGCAAAAACAAGAACACUAAUAACAAAUGUAUCAAUCCUCUCAUUUCUUAAUAACAAUCUAAAUAAAAUUUAGCAAACAAGACAAUAACACUUCAAUCCUCUCAUUCUGAUAACAAACAUAUAACAAACAAACACUAAUCACUAUCAAUCUUCUGCAUUUCUUGAUGAACAUAUACAAAAUUUUAGCAAAACAAGACACUAAUAACACAUAUCAAUCUUCUCAUUUUUGAUAACAAUAUACAAAUUAAAAAAAACCAAGAACACUAAUAACACUAUCAAUCUUCUCAUUUCUUAUAACAAUGAUACUAAAAUUUAGCAAAACAAGAACACUAAUAACACAUAUCAAUCUUCUGACUUUCUUGAUAACAAUAUAAAAAAAUUUAGCAGAAACAGAACACUAAUAAACUAUCAAUCUUCUCAUUUUCCUUAAUAACAAUAUACAAAUUUAAAAACAAGAACACUAAAUAACACUAUCAAUCUUCAUUUCUUGAUAAACAAUAUCAAAAUUAGCAAAACAACAUUAAUAACACUAGUCAUCUCUCAUUUCUUGAUACAAUAUACAAAUUUAGAAAAACAAGAACACUAUACACUAUCAUCUUCUCAAAUUUUCUUGAUAACAAUAUACAGAAAUUUAGCCAAUAACAAGAACACUAAUAACACUAUCAUCUCUCAUUUCUUGAUACAAUAUAUCAAAAUUCGCAAUACAAAGAAACUAUAACACUAUCAACUUCUCAUUCUUGAUAACAAUAUACAAAUUAGGCAAACACAAAACACUAAUAACACCUAUCAAUCUCUCAUUUCUUGAUAACAUAUACAAAAUUUAGCAAAACAAGAACAUAUAACAUUAUCCAUCUUCUCAUUUCUUGAUAACAAUAUACAAAUUUACGAAACAAGAACACUAAUAACACUAUCAAUCUUCCUCAUUUUUGAAUCAACAAUAUACAAAAUUUAGCAAAACAAGAAACUAAUAACACUAUCAAUCUUUCUCAUUUCUUGAUAAAAUAUACAAUUUAGCAAAAACAGAAGCACUAAUAACACUAUCAAUUGUCCUCAUUUUCUUUGAUAACAAAUACAAAAUUUAGCAAAAACAAGAACACUAUAACACUAUCAAUCUUCCAUUUCUUGAUAACAAAUACAAAUUUAGCAAAACAAGAACAAUAAUAACACUUCAAUCUUCUUUCCUUGAUAACAAUAUACAAAAUCUAGCAAAAAAGAACACUAAUAACACUAUCAAUCUUCUGUUCUUUUGAUAACAAUAUACAAAUUUGCAAAACAGAGAACACUAAUAACACUUCAUCUUCUCAUUUUUCAUAACAAUAUACAAAUUUACAAACAAGAACAUAAUAACAUAUCUAUCUUCUCAAUUUUCUUUGAUAACAAUAUACAAAUUUAGCAAAACAAGAACAUAAUAACACUAUCAAUCUUCUCAUUUCUGAUAACAAUAUACAAAAUUUAGCAAAACAAGAACAAAUAACAUAUCAAUCUUCUAUUUCUUGAUAACAAUAUACAAAUUUAGCAAAACAAGAACACUAAUAACACAAAUCUUCUCAUUCUUGAUAAAUAUACAAAAUUUAGCAAAACAAGAAACACUAAUAACAUUAUCAAUUCUCUCAUUUCUUAAUAACAAUACAUAAUUUAGCAAACAAGAACAUAAUAACACUGCUUCAUCUCUCAUUCUUGAUAACAAUAUACAAAAUAUAGCAAAACCAGAAACACUAAUACACUCAUCAAUCUUCUCAUUUCUUGAUAACAAUAUACAAAAUUUGCAACAGAACAUAAUACACUAUCAAUCUUCUCAUUUCUUGAUUAACAUAUACAAAAUUUAAAAAAAAACAAGAACACUAAUAACACUAUAUCUCUCAUUUCUUGAUAACAAUAAUACAAAAUUUAGCAAAACAAGACACUAAUAACAUUCAAUCUUCUCAUUUCUUGAUAAACAAUAUAAAAAAUUUAGCAAAACAAGAACAUAAUAACUAUCAAUCUUCUCAUUUCUUAAACAAUAUACAAAAUUUAGAAAAACAGAACACUAAUAACAUAUCAUCUUCUCAUUUCUUGAUAACAAUAUACAAAUUUAGCAACAAGAACACUAAUAACACUUCAAUCUUCUCAUUUUUGAUAACAAUAUACAAAAUUUAGCAAAACAAGAACACUAUCAAUCUUCUCAUUUUUGAUAACAAUAUACAAAAUUUAGCAAAACAAGAACACUAAUAACACUAUCAUCUCUCAUUUCUGAUAACAAUAUACAAAAUUCAGAACAAACAAGAAGCUUCAUUCUUGAUAACAACUAUCAUUCCAACAAGACAUAUCAUUCCAUGUCUGAUAAAUGAAAAUUUCUAAGCAAAUCAAGACACAAUAAACAUCCACUACAUUUGAACAAUUUUACGAACAAGAAAUGAUACACUCUCCAAUUCUCAUUCUGAUAACAAUAUACAAAUUUAGAAAACAAGAACUUAUCAAUCCUCUCAUUUCUUGAUAACAAUAUACAUAAUUUAGCAAAACAAGAACACUAAUAACACUAUCAAUCUUCUCAUUUCUUGAUAACAAUAUACAAAAUUUAGAAAAACAAGAACACUAAUAACACUAUCAAUCUUCACAUUUCUUGAUAACAAUAUACAUAAUUUAGCAAAACAAGAACAAUAAUAACACUCUCAGUCCUCUUUUUUCUUGAUAAUAAUAUACAAAAUUUAACAAAAGAAGAACACUAAUAACACUAUCAAUCUUCUGAUUUCUUGAUAACACUAUACAAAAUUUAGCAAAACAAGAACACUAAUAACACUGUCAAUCUUCUCAUUUCUUGAUAACAAUAUACAAAAUUUAGCAAAACAAGAACACUAUUAAUCUUCUCAUUUUUUGAUAACAAUUUACAAAAUUUAGCAAAACAAGAACACUAAUAACACUAUCCAUCCUCUCAUUUCUUGAUAACAAUAUACAAAAUUCAGCAAAACAAGAACCCUAAUAACACUAUCAAUCUUCUCAUUUCUUGAUAACAAAAUUUAGCACAAACAAGAACACUAAUAAACACUAUCAAUCUUUCUUGAUAACAAUAUACAAAAUUCAGCAAAACAAGAACACUAAUAACACUAUCAAUCUUCUCAUUUCUUGAUAACAAUAUACAAAAUUCAGCAAAACAAGAACACUAAUAACACUAUCAAUCCUGUCAUUUCUUGAUAACAAUAUACAAAAUUUAGCAAACCAAGAACAUUAAUAACAUUAUCAAUCUUCUCAUUUCUUGAUAACAAUAUACAAAAUUUAGCAAAAUAAGAACACUAAUAACACUAUCAAUCUUCUUAUUUCUUGAUAACAAUAUACAAAAUUUAGCAAAGCAAGAACACUAAUAACACUAUCAAUCUUCUCAUUUCUUGAUAACAAAAUAGAAAAUUUAGCAAAACAAGAACACUAAUAACAAUAUCAAUCCUCUCAUUUCUUGAUAACAAUAUACAUAAUUUAGCUAAACAAGAACACUAUCAAUCUUCUCAUUUCUUGAUAACAAUAUACAAAAUUUAGCAAAACAAGAACACUAAUAACACUAUCAAUCCUCUCAUUUCUUAAUAACAAUAUACAAAAUUCAGCAAAACAAGAACCCUAAUAACACUAUCAAUCUUCUCAUUUCUUGAUAACAAUAUACAAAAUUCAGCAAAACAAGAACACUAAUAACACUAUCAAUCCUCUCAUUUCUUGAUAACAAUAUAAAAAGUUUAGCAAACAAGAACACAAUAACACUAUCAAUCUUCUCAUUUCUUAAUACAAAUAUAGAAAAUUUAGCAAAACAAGAACACUAAUAACACUAAUCAAUCUCUCUCUUUCUUAGAUAACAAUAUACACAAAUUUUAGCAAAACAAGAACACUAAUAACAUUAUCAAUCUUCUCAUUUCUGAUAACAAUUAGACAAAUUUAGCAAAACAAGAACACUAUAUAACACUAUCAAUCUUUCUCAUUUCUUGAUAACAAUAUACAAAAUUAUAAAAACAGAAACACUAAUAACACUAUCAAUCUUCUCAUUUCUUGAUAACAAUAUAACAAAAUUUAGCAAAACAAGAACACUAAUAACACUAUCAAUCUUCUCAUUUCUUGAUAAAAAUAGCAAAAUUAGCAAAACAAGACACUAUAACAACUAUCAAUCUUCUCAUUUCUUAAUAACAAUAUACAAAUUUAGCAAAAAGAACACUAAUAACACUAUCAAUCUUUCCAUUUCUUGAUAACAAUAUACAAAAUUGCAAAACAAGAACACUAAUAACACUCAAUUCUUCUCAUUUCUUGAUAACAAUAUACAAAAUUUAGCAAAACAAGAACACUAUCAAUCUUCUCAUUUCUUGAUAACAAUAUACAAAAUUUAGCAAACAAGAAACACUAAUAACACUAUCAUCUCUCAUUUCUUGAUAACAAUAUACAAAAUUCAGCAAAACAAGAACCUAAUAACAUAUCAAUCUUCUCAUUUCUUGAUAACAAUAUACAAAAUUCAGCAAAACAAGAACAUAAUAACUAUCAAUCCUCUCAUUCUUGACAACAAUAUACAAAAUUAAGGCAAAACAAGAACAUUAAUAACAUUAUCAAUCUUCUCAUUUCUUGAUAACAAUAUACAAAAUUUAGCGAAACAAGAACACUAAUAACACUAUCAAUCUUCUCUUUUUUCUUAAUAACAAUAUACAAAAUUUAGCAAAACAAGAACACUAAUAACACUAUCAAUCUUCUCAUUUCUUGAUAACAAUAUACAAAAUUUAGCAAAAACAAGAACACUAAUAAACACAUCAAUCUUCUCAUUUCUUGAUAACAAUAUACAAAAUUUAGCAAAGCAAAGAACACUAAUAACACUAUCAAUCUUCUCAUUCUUGAAUAACAAAAUAGAAAAUUUAGGCAAAACAAGAACACUAAUAACAUCAAUCCUUCAUUUCUUGAUAACAAUAUACAAAUUUAGCAAAACAAACACUAAUAACAUAUCAACCUCAUUUCUUGAUAACAAUAUACAAAAUUUGCAAAACAAGAACACUAUAUUAACACUAUCAAUUUCUCAUUUCUUAAUAACAAUAUACAAAAUUUAGCAAAAAAAACAAAACAUAAUAACACUAUCAAUCUCUCAUUUCUUGAUAACAUAUACAAAAUUUGGCAAAACAAGAACACUAAUAACACUAUCAAUGCUUCUUCAUUUCUUGAUAACAAAUAUACAAAUUUAAAAACAAGAACACUAUAACAACUAUCAAUCUUCUCAUUUCUUGAUAACAAUAUACAAAAUUUAGCAAAACAAGAAACUAAUAACACUAUCAAUCUUCUCAUUUCUUGAUAACAAUAUCAAAAUUUAGCAAAACAAGAACACUAUAACACUAUCAAUCUUCUCAUUUCUUAAUAACAAUAUACAAAAUUUAGCAAAACAAGAACACUAAUAACACUAUCAAUCUCUCAUUUCUUGAUAACAAUAUACAAAAUUUAGCAAAACAAGAACACUAAUAACACUUCAAUCUUCUCAUUUCUUGAUAACAAUAUACAAAAUUUAGCAAACAAGAACACUAAAACACUAUCAAUCUUCUCAUUUCUUGAUAACAAUAUAAAUUUAGCAAAACAAGAACACUAAUAACAACAUCUCAUCCUCUAUUUCUGAUAACAAUAUACAAAAUUCAGCAAACAAGAACCCUAAUAACACUAUCAAUCUUCUCAUUUCUUGAUAACAAUAUACAAAAUUCAGAAACAAGAACACUAAUAACACUAUCAAUCUUCUCAUUUCUUGAUAACAAUAUAAAAUUUAGCAAAAACAAGAACAUUAAUAACAUUAUCAUCUUCUCAUUUCUUGAUACAAUAUACAAAAUUUAGCAAAAAAGAACACUAAUAACACUAUCAAUCUUCUCAUUUCUUGAUAACAAUAUACAAAAUUUAGCAAACAAGAAACUAAAACACUAAUAAUCUCUCAUUUCUUGAUAACAAUAUACAAAAAUUAUAGAAAACAAGAACACUAUCAAUCUUCCUCAUUUUUUGAUAACAAUAUCAAAAUUUAGCAAAACAGAACACUAAAACACUAUCUCUUCUCAUUUCUUGAUAACAAUAUACAAUUCGCAAAACAAGAACACUAAUAACACUAUCAAUCUUCUCAUUUCUUGAUAACAAUAUACAAAAUUUAGCAAAACAAGAACACUAAUAACACUAUCAAUCCUCUCAUUUCUUGACAACAAUAUACAAAAUUUAGCAAAACAAGAACAUUAAUAAACUAUCAAUCUUCUCAUUCUUAUAACAAUAUACAAAAUUUAAGCGAAACAAGAACACUAAUAACACUAUCAAUCUUCUCAUUUCUAUAAUAACGAAUAUACAAAAUUUAGCAAAAAAGAAAACACUAAUAACACUAUCAAUCUUCUCAUUUCUUGAUAACAAUAUACAAAAUUACAAAACAGAACAACUAAUAACACAUCAAUUUUCUCAUUUCUUGAUAACAUAUACAAAAUUUAGCCAAAAGCAAGAAACACUAAUAAACUAUCAAUCUUCUCAUUUCUUAAUAACAAUAAUAGAAAAUUUAGCAAAACAAGAAACACUAAAACACUAUCAAUCAUCUCAUUUCUUAAUAAACAAUACANNNNNNNNNNNNNNNNNNNNNGGCAAAAAAAGAAGGGAGAGGAGGGAGGAGUAGAGGGAAUAUAUAUCUGCAACAUACAGCCAGGAGAGUAUUAUAUUUAAUUUUAAUAUAGAGAGAAUUCACACACAUUACAGUAAGUAACUCAAUAUAUAUAAAUUAACAACAUCUCUAUAUGUAUUAUAAUAUACACAUAUAAUCUAUAUAUUAUCUCAAUCUAGUAUCACUAAUUAGAUAUCACUUAGAUCACAUACACCUUAUAACUCACAAAAAGAAUAUUUUAUAUAUAUAGCGCGAGAGAUAUAUAUACCACUCACUAGAAAAUACACAAAUCACAAAUUAUGACACCACUAUAUUCUUUCACAAAUGAGUUGACAUUAUAUAUAUAAAUACUAAAUAUUGUGUAGCAACAAUGAUAUAAUACUCACGCUUAUAAAUAACAUCUAUAGUAAGAAAGAAGAAAUAUUUAUGAAUAAACAAUCAUUGCUAUAUAAUAAUGAGAGAGUGCACAACACAUAAUAUAGGAACAUCAAUAUAGUAACAACAUAAUUCGGAUUAUGUCUCUCUCUAUAUGCUCAUAAUUUAUGCGUAUUAGAUAUAAAAAUAAUACAAAUAGCUUCUCACAUGCAAUAAAUGCAGGAUCACAAAUAUAUAUUAACACUAGUAAUCACAAACUUACUUACUCAUUUUUCUUGAAUAACUAAAUAUAUAACUUUUAAAGCACAUAACCACACGUAUAUUCACCUAAUAAACACUAUCAAUCUCUCAUUUCUUGAUAACAAUAUACAAAAUUUAGCAAAAACAAGAAACAACUAUAAUAACAUUAUCAAUUCGCUCUCAUUUCUUGAAAACAAUAUACAUAAUUUAGCAAAACAAGAACAAUAAAACACUCUCAAUCCUCUCAUUUCUUAAUACAAUAUACAAAAUUUAAGAAAAAGAAGAAACACUAAUAACACUAUCAAUCUCUGAUUUCUUGAUAACAAUAACAAAAUUAGCAAAACAAGAACACUAAUAACACUAUCAAUCUUCUCAUUUUCUUAUAACAAUAUACCAAAAUUUAAGCAAAACAAGAAACACUAAUAACACUAUCAAUCUUCUCAUUUCUUGAUAACAAUAUACAAAAUUUAGCAAAACAAGAACACUAAUAAACACUAUCAAUCUUCUCAAUUCUUGAUAACAAUAUACAAAAUUAAAAAAACAAAAGAACACUAAUAACACUAAUCAAUCUUCUCAUUUCUUGAUAACAAAUAUACAAUUUAAAAAACAAGAACACUAAUAACACUAUCAAUCUCUCAUUUCUUGAUAACAAUACUACAAAUUGCAAAACAAGAACACUAAUAACACUCAAUCUUCUCAUUUCUUAUAACAAUAAAAAAUUUAGCAAACAAGAACACUAAUAACACUAUCAAUCUUCUAUUUCUUGAUAAACAAUAUAAAAAAUUUAGCAAAAUAAAAACACUAAUAACACUAUCAAUCUUCUCAUUUCUUGAUAACAAUAUAAAAAAUUUAGCAAAAACAGAGACACUAAUAACACUAUCAAUCUUCUCAUUUCUUGAUAACAAUAUACAAAAUUUAGCAAAACAAAGAACACUAAUAAAACUAUCAAUCUUCUCAUUUCUUGAAUAACAAAUACAGAAUUUUAGCAAAACAAAGAACACUAAUAACACUAUCAAUCCUCUCAUUUCUUGAUACCAAUAUACAAAUUUAGCAAAACAAGAACACUAAUAAACUAUCAAUCUCUCAAUGUUCUUGAUAAUACAAUAUAUAAAUUUAGCACAAACAAGAACACUAAUAAACACUAUCAAUCUCUCAUUUCUUGAUAACAAUUACAAAUUUAGCAAAACAAGAACGUACUAAUAACACUAUCAAUCCUCAUUUCUUGAUAACAAUAUACAAAUUAGGAAACAAGAACACUAAUAACACUAUCAAUCUUAAUUUCUUGAUAACAAUAUACAAAAUUAGCAAAACAAGAACACUAAUAACACUAUCAUCUUCUCAAUUUCUUGAUAACAAAUAAUACAAAAAUUUAGCAAACAAGAACACUAAUAACACUAUCAAUCUUCUAAUUUCUUGAUAACAAUAUACAAAAUUUAGGAAAAAAGACAUGAUAACAUAUCAAUCUUCUCAUUCUUUUGAUAACAAAAUACAAAUUUAAGCAAAGCAAAGAACACUAAUAAAACUUCAAUUUCUCAUUUCUUGAUAACAAAAUAGAAAAAUUUUAGCAAAACAAGAACACAAAUUACUAUCAUCUUCUCAUUUCUUGAUAACAAUAUAUCAAAAUUAGCAAAACAAGAACAGCUAUAACAUUAAUGCAAUCCUCUCAUUUCUUGAUAACAAUAUACAUAAUUAGCAAAAACCAAGAAACACUAAUCAUCUUCUCAUUUCUUGAUAAUAAUAUACCCAAAAUUUAGCAAAACAGAACCAAUAACACUAUCGAUCCUCUCCCUUUCUUGAUAACAAAUAAAGUACGAAAUUCAGCAAAAAAGAACGCUAAUAACUACUAUCAGAUCUUCUCAUUUCUUGAUAACAAUAUACAAAAUUCAGCAAAACAAGAACACUAAUAACAUUAUCAAUCCUCUCAUUCUUGAUCAACAAAUAUAACAAAAUUUAGCAAAACAAGAACAUUAAUAACAUUAUCAAAUCUUUCCAUUUCUUGAUAACAAUAUAGAAAAUUUAGGCGAAACAAGAACACUAUAACACUAUCAAUCAUCCUUUCAUUUCUAAUAAUAAUAUAAAAUUUAGCAAAACAAGAACAACUAAAUAACACGUCAAAUCUUCACAUUUCUUGAUAAACAAUAUACAAAAUUUAGCAAAACAAGAACACUAAUAACACUAAUCGAUCUUCUCAUUUUCUUGAUAACAAUAUACAAAAUUUAAAGCAAAGCAAGACCACUAAUAACACUAUCCAAGCUUCUCAUUUCUUGAUAACAAAAUAGAAAAUUUAGCAAAACAAGAACACCUGAAUACACUAUCAUCCUUCUCAUCUCUUGAUAACAGUAUAUCAAAACUUUAGCAAAACAAGAACACUAAUAACAUUAUCAAUCCUCUCAUUUUCUUGAUAACAAUAUACAUAAUUUAGCAAAACCAAAACAAUAUACAACACUCUCAAUCCUCUCAUUUCUUAAUAACAAUAUACAAAAUUUAAGAAAAGAAGAACACUAAUGACACUAAUCAAUCUUCUGAUUUCUGAUAAACAAUCUACAAAAUAUAGCAAAACAAAGAACAUAAUAACACUAUGCAAAUCUUCUCAAUUUCUCAUAACAAUUAACAAAAUUUAGCAAAACAAAACACUAAAUAACACUAUCAUCUUCUCAUUUUUUGUACAAUAUAACAAAUUUAGCAAAACAAAGAACACUAAUAACACUAAUCAAUGCUUCUCAUUUCUUGAUACAAUAUACAAAAUUUUAGGCAAAACAAGAAACUAUAACACUAUCAAUCUUUCUCUAUUUCUUGAUAACAAUAUACAAAAUUUUUAAAAAAUAACAAGAACACAAUAACACUAUCAAUUUCUCAUUUCUCCUUGAUAACAAUAUACAAAAUUUAGCAAAACAAAAACACUAAUAACACUAUCAAUCUUCUAAUUUCUUGAUAAGCAAAUAUAAUCAAAAUUUUAGCAAAACAAUAACACUAAUACACUAUCAAUCUUCUCAUUUCUUUCUUGAUAACAAUAUACAAAACUUAAAAAAACAAAGAACACUAAUAAACACUACAUCUUCUCAUUUUUGAUAACAAAUUUACAAAACUUUAAAAAAACAAAAAACUAAUAACACUAUCAAUCUUCUCAUUUCUGAUAACAUAGAUAAAAUUUUGCAAAAACAACGAACACUAAUAACUACUGUCACUCUUCUCAUUUCUGAUAAACAAUAUACAAAAUUUAGCAAAACAAGAACACUAAUAACACUAUCAAUCUUCUGAUUUUCUUGAUAACAAUUUAUACAUAAUUUUGGCCAAAUAAAAACCUAAUAACACUAUAAAUCUCUUCAUUUCUUGAUAACGAUAUAAAAACUUAGCAAAAACAAGGACACUAAUAACACUAUCAAUCUUCACUUUCCUUGAUAUACAAUGAUACAAAAUUUAGCAAAACAGAAACACUAAUACAAAAACUAUCAAUCUUCUCAUUUCUUGAUAACAAUAACAGAAUUUUGCAAAACAAGAACAUUGAUAAACUAUCAAUCCUCUCAUUUCUUGAUAACAAUAUAACAAGAAUUUAGCCAAAAAAAGAACACUAAUAAACUCUAAUCCUCCAAUUUCUUGAUAAUAAUAUCAUAAAAUUUUAGCAAAACAAGAAACCAUAACACUAUCAAUCCUCUCAUUUAUUGAUAACAAUGUAACAGAAUUUAUCAAAGAACAAGAACACUAUAACACUUAUCAAUCCUCUUCAUUUCUGAUAACAAUUAGCAAAUUGCAGUAACAAAACAAGAAUACUAAUAUACUACUCUCAUCUUCUUCAUUUCUGAUAUACUAUAUUAUCAUAAAUUCAGCAAAACAUAGAACACUAUAACACUAUCAUCCUCUCAAUUUCUUGAAUAACAACAUACAAAAUUUAGCAAAACAAGAACAUUAAUAACAUUUAUCAAGUCUUCUCAUUUCCUUGAUAACAAUACUACAAAAUUUAGCAAAAACAAGAACACUAAUAACGAAUUUUCAAUUCUUUUUCAAUUUCCUUGAUUAACAAUAUACAAAAUUUAGCAGAAGCAAGAACAGACUAAUAAACUGAUCAAUCUUCUCAUCUUCUGAUAACAAAAAUAGAAAAUUUAGCAAAACAGAAGAAACACUAAUAACACUAAUCAUUCCUUCUCAUUUUCUUGAUAACAAUAUACAAAAAUUUAGCAAAACAGAACACUAAUAACAAUUAUCAUCCAAUCAUUUUCUUGAUAACAAUAUAUCAAAAUUUAGCAAACAAAAACAACUAAUAACACAAUCAAUCCUCCUCAUUUUCUUGAUUUAACAAUAUACAAAAUUCAGCAAAACAAGAACAGCCUAAUAACACUAUCAAUCUUUCAAUUUCUUAAUAACAAUAUACAAUUCAGCAAAACAAGAACACUAAUAACACUAUAUCCUCGUCAAUUUUCUUGAUAACAAUAUACAAUUUAAGCAAAAACAAGAACAUUAAUAACAUUAUCAAUCUUCUCAUUUCUUGAUAACAAUAUACCAAGUUAAGCAAAACAAGGACACUAAUAACACUAUCAAUCAUCUCAUUUCUUAAUAAUAAUAAUAUCAAAAUUUAGCAAAACAAGACCACUAAUAAACUAUGCAAUCUUCUCAUUUCUUGAUAACAAUAUAACAAAAUUUAAGCAAAACCCAAGAACACUCAUUAACACUAUCAUCUUCUCAUUUCUUGAUAACAACAUAACAAAUUACAAACCCAAGAACACUAAUAACACUAUCAAUCUCACAUUCUUGAUAAGCAAAUAUACAAAAUUUAGCAAACAAGAACAUUAAUAAACUAUCAAUCCUCUCAUUUCUUGAAUAACAAUAUACAAAUAUUCAGCAAAACAAGAACCUAAUAACAACUAUCAAUCUUCUCAUUUCUUGAAUAACAAUAUAAACUAAAAUUCAGCAAGAAGCAAGAACACUAAUAACCACUGUCAAUCCUCUCAAUUUCUGAUAACAAUUCAAAUUAAGCAAAACAAGAAAUAUUAAUAACAUAUCAAUCUUCUCAUUCUUAUAACAAUAUACAAGAAUUUGGCGAAACAAGGAACACCUAAUAACACAGAAUCAAUCAUCGUCAUUUUUAAUAAUAAUAUACAAAAUUUAGCACCACAAGAACACGUAAUAACACUACAAUCUUCUCAUCUUGAAUAACAAUAGUAUAAAUUAGCAAAACAAAGAAUAACUAAUAACGACUAUCACUCUUCGUCUUUCUUGAUAAGAAAAUACAAAAGUUUUAGCAAAACAAGAACAGCUAAUAACACUUUAUCGAAUCUUCACAUUUCUUGAUAACAAUAUACAAAAUUUAGGCAAAACCAAGAACACUAAUAACACUAUCAAUCCUCAUCAUUUCUUGAUAACAAUAUACGAAAUUCAGCAAACAAGAACCUAAUACACUAUCAAUCUUCACAUUUUCUGAUAACCAAUAUAAUAAUUUAUGCAAAACAAGAACACUAAUAACACUAUCCAAUCCUCUCAUUUAUUGAUAACAAUGUACAGAAUUUCAGCAAAGACAAGAACACUAAUAACACUAUCAAUCCUCAUCAUUUCUUCCUUGAUAACAAUAACAAAAUUCAGCAAAACAAGAAACACUAAUAACACUAUCAAUCUUCUCAUUUCUUGAUAACAAUAUACAAAAUUUCAGCAAAACAAGAACACUAUAACACUAUCAAUCCUCUAUUUCUUGAUAAACACAUACAAAAUUUAGCAAACAAAACAUUACUCAAGCAUUAAUCAAUCUUCUCAUUUCUUGAUAACAAACAAAAUUAGCAAAACAAGACACUACUAAUAACCUUUCAAUCUUCUCAUUUCUUGAUAACAAUAUACAAAUUUAGCAAAACAAGACACUAAUAACACUAUCAAUCUUCUCAUUUCUUGAUAACAAAUACAAAAUUUAGCAAAAGAAGAACACUAAAUACACUAUCAAUCUUCUCAUUUCUUGAUACAAUAUACAAAAUUUAGCAAAACAAGAACACUAAUAACAAUUCAUCCUCUCAUUUCUUUGAUAACAAAUACAAAAUUUAGCAAAAACAAGAGAACACUAUAACACUAUCAAUCCUCUCAUUUCUUGAUAACAAUAUACAAAAUUUCAGCAAAACAAGAACCCUAAUACACAUUCAAUCUUCUCAUUCUCUUAUAAACAAUAUACAAAAUUCAGCAAAACAAGAACACUAAUAACACUAUCAAUCCUCUCAUUUCUGAUAACAAUAUACAAAAUUUAGCAAAACAAGAACACUUAAUAACACUAUCAAUCGUUCUCAUUUUGAUAACAAUAUACAAAUUUAGCAACAAAACAAGAACACUAAUAAACAUUAUCAAUCCUCUCAUUCUUUGAUGAACAAUAUACAAAAUUUAGCAAAACAAGAACACUAAUAAACACUAUCAAUCCUCUCAUUUCUUGAAACAAAUAUACAAAAUUCAGCAAAACAAGAACCCUAAUAACACUAUCAAGCUUCUCAUUUCUUGAUAACCAAUAUACAAAAAAUUCAGCAAAACAAGAACACUAAUAACACUAUCAAUCCUCUCAUUUCUUGUAACAAUAUACAAAUUAGCAAAACAAGCAACGAUUAUAACAGUUAUCAAUCUACUCAUUCUUGAUAACAAUAUACAAAAAGUUAGCGAAAACAAGGACACUAAUAACACUAUCAAUAUCUCAUUUCUUUAAUAAUAGAAUAUACAAAAUUAGCCAAACAAGACCCCUAAUAACCACUAUUCAAUCUUCUCAUUCUUGAUAACAAUAUCAAAUUUAGCCGAAAAACAAAGAACACUAAUUACACUAUCAAUCUUUCUCAUUUCUUGAUAAAAACAUACAAAAUUUAGCAAAACAAAGACAUAUAACACUAUUCAUCUUCACAUUCUUAUACAAUAUACCAAUUUAGCAAAACCAAGAAACACUAAAUAACACUAUCAAUCAAACAAGAACACUAAAACACUGAUAAUCUUCUCAUUUCUUAAUAACAAUAUACAAAUUCUAGCAAACAAGACACUAAUAACAUAUCAAUCUUCUCAUUUCUUUAUAAACAAUAUACAAAAUUUAGCAACAAGGAACAUUAAUAACAUAUAAUCUUCUUCAUUUCUGCUAAACAAUAUACAAAAUUUAGCGCAAACAGAACAGCUAAUAACACUUAUCCAAUACUUCUCAUUCUCUAAAUAACCAAUAUAAAAUUUAAACAAACAAGAAUAAUAACACAUAUCAAUCUUCUAUUCUUGAUAACAAUAGAUACAAAUUUGCAAAACAAGAACACAAAUCACUAUCAAUCUCUCAUUCUAUAUGAUAACAAUAUACAUAAAUUUAGCAACAAGAAACAUAUCAACUAUCAUCUCUAUUUCUAUAAACAAUAGAAAAUUUAGCAAAACAAGAACCUAAUAACACUAACAUCCUUCUCAUUUCUGGAUAACAAUAUACAAAUUUAGCAAACAAGAACACUAUCACCAUUAUCAAUCUCUUCAUCUUCUGAUACUUACAUAUUUGCCAAAAGACCAAUGACACAAUAUCUCACAUAAAACGUCAAUUUACAACCGAACACUAAUAACUAUAUCAUCUGUAAAACAAUCUAUAUUACAAAAUGUAACUCCUCUUCUCGAUCAAUUUCAAAUUGAAACGAAAACCUAAUACAUUAUAAUUUCAUUUAUAUCAAGCAAAACAAGAACUUAAAUACAUCUAUCACAGUUCUCUCAUUUUUAUUAACAAUAUACAAAAUUUAGCCAACAAGACACUAUAUAACGCCUCUCUACUAUCAAUAUAAAUCGCAACAAGUAUCUGCAAUUUCUUAUCUAUAACCAUAUACAAUUAGCAAACAAAGAAACAUUAAACAUCUAUCAAUCUUCUCAUUCUUGAUAACGAAUAUACAAAAUUUUAGCGAAAACAAGAAACACUAAUAACACUAUCAAUCUUCUAUUUACUUAGAUAACAAUACACAAAAUUUUAGCAAAACAAGAACACAACAACUAUCAUCUUCUCAUUUUAUAUAACAAUAUACCAAACAUUAGCAAAAAAGAACAUACUAAAACACAUUAUCAUUCCUUCUCAUUUCUUUGAUAACAAUUAUACAAAAUUCAGCCAAAGACAGAGAACCAUAAAACAUAGUCAAUCUUCUCAUUUCUUAAUAACAAAUAGCAAAUUUUAGCAAAACAAGGAACACUAAAUCAAAACACUAAUCAAUUUUCCAAUCUUCAUUUCUUGAUACCAAUAUACAAAAUUUAGCAAAACAAGAACACUAAUAACACUGUCAAUCUUCUCAUUCCUUGAUAACAAUAUACAAAAUUUAGCAAAACAAGAACACUAAUAACACUAUCAAUCCUCUCAUUUCUUAAUAACAAAAUAGAAAAUUUAGCAAAACAAGAACAUUAAUAACACUAUCAAUCUUCUCAUUUCUUGAUAACAAUAUACAAAAUUUAUCAAAACAAGAACACUAAUAACACUAUCAAUCCUCUCAUUUCUUGAUAACAAUAUACAAAAUUCAGCAAAACAAGAACACUAAUAACACUAUCAAUCUUCUCAUUUCUUGAUAACAACAUACAAAAUUUAGCAAAAGAAGAACACUAAUAACACUAUCAAUCUUCAUAUUUCUUGAUAACAAUAUACAUAAUUUAGCAAAACAAGAACACUAAUAACACUAUCAAUCUUCUCAUUUCUUAAUAACAAAAUAGAAAAUUUAGCAAAACAAGAACACUAAUAACACUAUCAAUCUUCUCAUUUCUUGAUAACAAUAUAAUACUAUCAAUAUCUUCUCGAUUCGGGUUUUGUAGGAUAACAAUAUUAAAAUUUUUAAAAGAAGAAAAAAAAAAAAAAAAAGAAAGAAGAAAAAAACAAGAGAAAAGCACGAGCUCAUAACAUAAUCGAGAUCUGCUUCAUUUUCUUCCGAUAACGAAUAUACAAAAGUUUAGCCCCACCCCCCGCCGCCGCACGCCCACGCCCAGCCACCCCACCACGCCCCCGCCACACACCCCCCAAGCCCCAAAACCUAGAACGACUAACAUAAACACUAUCAAUCUUCUCAUUUUCUUGAAACAUAUACAAGAAUUUAGCCAAAAAAACAAGAACCAACGUAAUAAAAAACUAUCAGGUCUUUCAAUUUCUUUAAAAAUAACAAUAUACAAAAAUUUUAGGCAAAACACAAAGAACACAAUAACACUAUCAAUGUCUUCUCGAUUUCUUUGAUUAACAAUAUACAAAAGUGUUAGCAAAACAAAGAAACACAAAAACACGGUAUUCAAUCUUCUCCAGUUCCUGAAUAACAAUAUUACCAAAUUUCUAGCAAAAAACAGAAACCAUAAUAACACAUUCAAUCUUCUCAUUUCUGAUGAACAAAUAUGACAAAAAUUAUAGCCAAACACUAAAACACUAAUAACCACUUCAAUUCUUUCUCAGUUUCUUAAAUUACGAAUAUAGAAAAGUUUAGCAAAGAUAAUUAACACUAAUAACACUAUCAAUCUUCUCAUUCCUUGAUAACAAUAUACCAAAAUUUAGCAAAACAAGAACACUAAUAAACCUAAUUCAAUCUCUAAUUCUUUUGUGACAAUAUAAAAAUUUAGCAAAACGAGAACACUAAUAACGACUAUCGAAUCUUCUCAUUUCUUGAUAACAAUUAUACAGAAAUUUAGCAAAACAAGAAAAUACUAGUAAAACUAUUCAAUCUUCUCAUUUCUUGAACCAAUAUACAAAAAUUAUAGCAAAACAGAAACACUAAUAACACUAUCAACUUAUUCCAUCUUAAUAACAAUUAUACAAAAUUUACAAAAAACAGGAGAACAUAUAUAACACAUCAAUCUCUUCUCAUUUCUUGGAUAAAAUGUAGCAAAAUGUUGCAAAUAAGAACACUAUAACUACUAUCAAUCUUCUGAUUUCUUGAUAACAAUAUACCAAAAUUAAAACAAAACAAGACACUAAUAACACGUAUCAAUCUUCUCAUUUCUUGAUAAACAAUAUACAAAAAUUUAGGCAAGGUAAGCAGAACACUAAUAACACAUCAAUCUUCUCAUUUCUUGAUAAGCAAUGAUACAAAAUUUAAGCAAAAACAAGAACACUAAUAACACUAUCAAUCUUUCAUUUCAUAAUUACACUAGACACACUGAACAAUCAAUUCCAAUCUUAGCUACAAAAUUAGCAAAACAAAAUACACUAAUAACACUAUCUAAUCUUUUCAUUUUACGAUAAACAAUAUACAAAAGUUAGCAAAAAACAAGAACACUAAUAACACUAUUUCAAUCUUCCAUUUCUAAUAACAAUAUAGAAAAUUAGCAAACAAUAAUACACUAUACACUAGUCAAUGCUUCUCAUUUCUUGAUAACAAUAUAAAAAUUUAAAAAAAAAAACAAGAACACUAAUAACACUAUCAAUCUGUCUCAUUUCUUAAUAACAACUAUACAAAAUUAUAAAACUAAGAUCAUAAUAACACUAUCUAAUCUCUCAUCUUCUGGAUAACAAUAAUACAGAAAUUUAGCAAAACCAUGAUACACUAAAUAACACUAUCAAUCUUCCUCAUUUGCUUAAUAACAAUUAUACAAAAUUGCUCAGCAAACAAUGAAGACAACUAAUAACACUAUCAAUCUUCUCAUUCUUGAUAAAAUAUACAAACAAUUUUAGCAAGACUAAGAAACACUAAUAACACUUCGAAUCUUCUAUUCCUUGAUAACAUAUUACAAAAUUUAGCAAACGAAGAACACUAUCAACAUAUAUCUUCUCAUUUCUUUGCAUAAACAAUAUACAAAAGUUAGAAAACAAGCCAACACUUAAUAACACUACUCAAGUCUCUGCAUUUACUUGAUAACAAUAUUACCAAAAUUUCAGCCAAAACAAGAACACCUAAUAACACUAUCAAUGCUUCUCAUUUCUUAAUAACAAUAUUACAAAAUUAGACCAAAACCAAGAACACUUAGAUAGAGCACUAUUCAAUACUCUCUCAUUUCUCCUGGAUAACAAUUAUACAAAAAUUUAGCGAACAAGAACACUAUAAUAACACUAUCAAUCUUUCUUUCCCUUCAUAACAAUAUACAAAAAUUUAGCAAAACAAUGAACCAUCAAAUAACACUAUCAAUACUUCUCAUUUGGCUUCAAUAACAAUAUUACACAAAUUGUAACAACAAACAAGCAACAUCUAAGUACACAGGCUAUUCAAUCUUCUCAUUUCUCGUGAUUAAACAAUAUACAAAAAUUUGCAAAGCAAGAACCUAAUAAACUAUCAAUGCUUGUCUUCUUCAAUAGCAAAAUGAUCAAAAUAUUUAGAUAAAAACAAGAAUCACUAUAUAACACUAUCAAUCUAUACUCAUUUCAAUUCUAAAACUACAAAAAUCUUACGUAAAACAAGAAACACGAUCAUUAAUAACACUAUCCAACCUCUCAUUUGAUAACAAUAUAAAAUUGAAAAAACGAAAAUAAAACAUAUAAUUAGUCUGCAUUAUAACAACAUCAAAAUUUGCACAAACAAGAAACUAAACUAACCGAUCAAUCUUCUCAUUUCUUGAUAACAAUAUACAAAAUUUAGAAAAACACGAACACUAAUAACACUAUCAAUCUUCUCAUUCCUUGAUAAACAAUAUACAUAAACUUGCAAAACAAGAACACUAAUAACACUAUCAAUCUUCUCAUUUCUGUAUAAACAAAUACAAAAUUUAGAAAAACAAGAACACUAAUAACACUAUCAAUCUUCUCAUUUCUGAUAACAAUAUACAAAAGUUGCAAAACAGAACACUAAUAACACUAUUCAAUCUUUCUCAUUUCUUAAUACAAUAUAGAAAAUUUAGCGAAAUAAGAAACACUAAUAACACUAUCAAUCUUCUCAUUUCUUGAUAACAAUAUAACAAAAUUUAGCUAAACAAAGAAUUACUAAGUUAAAACUAUCACAUCCUCUCAUUUCUUGAUAACAAUAUACAAAAUAUUAAAGCAAAACAAGGAACACUUAUAACACUAUCAAUCUUCUUCAUUCUUGAUAACAAUAUACAAAAUUUAGAAAAACAAGAACACUAAUAACACUAUCAAUCUUCUCAUUUCUGAUAACUAUAUACAAAAAUUUAGCAAAACAAGAACACUAAUAACACUAUCAUUCUUCUCAUUUCUUAAUAACAAUAUAGAAAAUGUAGCAAAACCAAGAACUAAUAAAACACUAUCAAUCUUCUUCAUUUCUUAAUCAAUAUACAAANNNNNNNNNUACAAACAAUAUACAAAAUUUAGCAAACAAGAACACAAUACACUAUCAAUCUUCAUCUUUUGUACUAAAAUUUAGCAAAAAACAAGAACACUAAUAACACUAUAAUCCAUUCUCUCAUUUACAAUUAUUAACAAUAUACAAAAUUUUAACAGCAAAACAAGACUCUAAUAACAUAUCAAUCUUCCAUUUCUUGAUAAACAAUAUACAAAUUUAGCAAAACAAGAAACAUAAAACACUAUCAAUCUUCUCAAUUUCUGAUAACAAUAUAAAAUUUAGCAAACAAGAACACUAAUAACACUAUCAAUCUUCUCAUUUCUUGAUAACAAUAUACAAAAUUUAGCAAAACAGAACACUAAUAACACUAUCAAUCUUCUCAUUUCUUGAUAACAAUUAUACAAAUUGAGCAAAACAGAACACUAAUAACACUAUCAAAUCUUUUCUCAUUUCUUGAUAACAAUAUACAAAAAUUUAGCCAAACAAGAACACUAAUAAACACUAUCGAAUCUUCGUCAUUUCUGAUAACAAAUACAAAAUUUAGCAAAACAAGAACACUAAUAACACUAUUCAAUCUUCUCAUUUCUUUAAUAACAAUAUACAAAAUUUAAAAGAAACAACACUUUAAUAAACACUAUAUCAAUCUUCUCAUUUCUUGAUAACAAUUACAAAAUUAGCCAAACAAGAACACUAAUAACACUAUCAAUCUUCUCAUUUCGUUGAUAACAAUAUAAAAUUAGCAAAACAAGAACACUAAUAAACACUAUCAAACUUUUCUCAUUCUUUGAUAACAUAUACAAAAAUUUAGAAAACAAGAACACUAAUAACACUAUCAAUGCUUCUCUUUCUGAUAACAAUAUACAAAAAUUUAGCAAAACAAGAACACUAAUAACACUAUCAUCUUCUCAUUUCUUAUAGACAUAUACAAAUUUAGCCGAACUAAACGUACACGAAUCUGCUCAUUCCAUACAAAUAGAAAUACAAAACAAGAACACUAAUAACACUAUCAAUCUUCUUCAUUUCUUGAAUAACAAUAUACAAAAUUUAGCAAAACAAGAACACUAAUACACUAUCAAUCUUCUCUUUUCUAAAACAAUAUAAAAUUUAGCAAACAAGAACACUAAUAACACUAUCAAUCUUCUAUUUUUGAUAACAAUAUACAAAAUUUCAGCAUAAACAAGAAACUAAUAAACUAUCAAUCUCUCUUUCUUUAUAACAAUAACCAAAAUAUAGCAAAACAAUAACACUAAAACACUAUCAAUCUUCUCAUUUCUUGAUAACAAUAUACAAAAUUUAGCAGAAACAAGAACAUAAUAACACUAUCAAUCUUCUCAUUUCUGAAUAAACAAUAUAAAAAAAUUAGCAAAACAAGAACACUAAUAAUACUAUCAAUCUUUCUCAUUUCUUGAUAACAAUAUACAAAAAUUAGCAAACAAGAACACUAAUAACACUAUCAAUCUUCUCAUUUCUUAUAACAAAUAAAAAUUUAGCAAAACAAAACACGUAAUAACACUAUCAAUCUUCUCAUUCUUAAUAACAAUAUACAAAAAUUUAAAAAAACAAGACAUUAAUAAACAUAUCAAUCUCUCAUUUCUUGAUAACAAUAUACAAAAUUUGCAAAACAAGAACACUAAUAACACUAUCAAUCUUCUCAUUUCUUCGAUACAAUAUACAAAUUUAGGCAAAACAAGAACACUAAUAAACACUAUCAAUCUUCUCAUUUCUUGAUUACAAUAUAACAAAAUUUAGCAAAAACAAGAACACUAAUAACACUAUCAAUUUCUCAUUCUUGAUAACAAUAUACAAAAUUUAGCAAAACAAGAAACACUAAUAACCUAUCAAUCUUCUCAUUUCGUUGAUAACAAUAUACAAAAUUUAGCAAAAACAAGAACACUAAUAACACUAUCAAUCUUCUCAGUUUCUUGAUAACAAACAAUAUACAAAAUUUGGCAAAACAAGAACACUAAUAACACUAUCAAUCUUCUCAUUUCUUGAUAACAAUAUACAAAAUUUAGAAAAACAAGAACACUAAUAACACUAUCAAUCUUCUCAUUCCUUCAUAACAAUAUACAAAAUUUAGCAAAACAAGAACACUAAUAACACUAUCAAUCUUCUCAUUUCUUGAUAACAAUAUACAAAAUUUAGAAAAACAAGAACACUAAUAACACUAUCAAUCUUCUCAUUUCUGGAUAACAAUAUACAAAAUUUAGCAAAACAAGAACACUAAUAACACUAUCAAUCUUCUCAUUUCUUAAUAACAAUAUAGAAAAUUUAGCAAAACAAGAACACAAAUAACACUAUCAAUCUUCUCAUUUCUUGAUAACAAUAUAAAAAAUUUAGCUAAACAAGAAUACUAAUAAAACUAUCAAUCCUCUCAUUUCUUGAUAACAAUAUACAAAAUAUAGCAAAACAAUAACACUAAUAACACUAUCAAUAUUCUCAUUUCUUAAUAACAAUAUACAAAAUUUNNN
rnacentral:lncRNA from 1 species